UCAGCAUCUAAGGGACAAGAAAAACCAGCCAAAGAAAUGGAUGGAAAGGAUUUAAGAAGCGACCAAUUAGAAAACACCAAAGACUCAAUAGACAUGCCACUGAUAAUAAGAUGCUGUAAGAAUUUUGUACAUCUAGUAACAUAUUAAAAGGAGUGUAUGUUACAAUUAUUAGAUAUGGUGCUCCUUACAUUUUUUUCUUAGAAUUCAAAAAUAUUCCUGCUCCUUCCACAUUCUUCAGAUUUCAUUUGUGUCAGCACUUUUGAAAAGGCCAGCUGCCAAAAGCCAGACACAAACUAUGUGUGGGAGAAACCCAGGAUAAACUGGAGUGUUGACAGGUAUGAUCUGUGAAAACAUUUUUCCAUCAGUAAAUAACCAAUGCUACAAGAUGAAGGUGUAAAUCAAUAGCUUCUCAAACAUGAUUAAUGCAGCCCAAUGCUGUGUCCUGCUCAGUCACUAGAUACCAAUCUAACUGAACAUCUUUGGUAUACGAUGGAGUAAGUAGACACCCUUUACCACUUAUGCUUGUGCAAAUUGUGAGGAGUUGCUUGUUGGCGUUACAGACACGAGUAAUUCUAUUUAAGUUUCCCCAGAACUGCCUUGUAACAGUGUGAGAUUAUUAUUAAGGUCAUAUAUUGUGUUGGACCCAGUUCUCUUCUUGCCAUUUCUGUAGAUACAUUUGUAGGGAAAUUCUUUAAUAUUCAACCAUGUUUGCAUGACUGAACUCUGACACCCCCAUUCAGUGCUGUCACUUAUUAUUUACCUUCAUCCAGGGGUCCUGAUACUAGAAAAAACAAGAAAGCAAACUGCCCAUUAAUCUGGCUUCACCCGUGAAAACUACUACGAAAAACUACUACGUUAUAUACAGGGUGUAAGCAUUAAUACCAUAUUUACACUAGAAUUGGCAAAGAAGAAAAACAUUGUGGUUGGCAUUUCGUGUCAAUUUAGUGCAUC